AGCAGCACAGCGUGCGCCCUUGCAUAGUAACAGGCUAUGUUCUGUGAUUUCGUCUUUCCACCAGAACAAAGCAUUUGUCUCAUCAUUCAUUGAUGUCAUUGUGAGAUACUGGUAAACCAUUUUAACCUUUGGACCUUGUUGCAACUAAAGGACCAGCUACUAGAGUCUUAGGCUGAAAAGACAGAUUUUCAAAGAGGCUGGAAAUAUCUGCUCAUGACUUCUGGCUUUCUUGGGAAGAACCAAAGAAUGAAUGAACUCUGGAAGACAUAGGGACAAUCUCUGUGACAGCCCUGUAUGGUGUUGAGUGACAGGGUUCAGCUUAGAAAGCUAAGCAUCCUGCUGCGUGGACACAAGGAGAUGCCUUCAUCAUUUACUGACAUGAAAUCACAGGGCUCUGUGAUGGUGUGCCUACUGGGAGCUGAGGCAAGCAUUGAAGGUGCUCUGUGGAGCUGCAGCUGGGCACCCAGAAGCUGCUCCAGUCUGUGGCUUGGAGAGCUGAGCUUGCAACACAUCCAGUGGUUUCUAAGUAUUGCAAUGGAAAUCAGCUACACUUGGAACUGGCAGUGACGCUUUACAGAAGGUAUCAAUAUCAUCUACCAUCAUCAGAGAUUAAGUUGUAUUAUCUAGGGAAAAGUGUAAACCACAAUUCAUUAUGUUCUAAGAUAAAGAACUGGAAGAUGUUGAAUAGAGGAAUUUGAGAAAAACCCAAGACAGAUGUUGAGAGUGUAGGCA
rnacentral:lncRNA from 1 species